UACAGAGGUCCCAAGCGUUGUUCGGAUUUACUGGGCGUAAAGGGUGCGUAGGCGGUCGGACAAGUCUGAUGUGAAAUCUCCAGGCUCAACUUGGAAAAGGCAUUAGAAACUGUUCGGCUAGAGGGUUGGAGGGGGGACUGGAAUUCUCGGUGUAGCAGUGAAAUGCGUAGAUAUCGAGAGGAACACCAGUGGCGAAGGCGAGUCCCUGGACAACUCCUGACGCUGAGGCACGAAAGCUAGGGGAUCAAACAGG
rnacentral:rRNA from 1 species